rnacentral:tRNA from 1 species
GCAGCAGUGGUUCAGUGGUAGAAUUCUCGCCUUCCAUGUGGGAGACCUGGGUUCGAUUCCCAGCCAGCA